rnacentral:rRNA from 1 species
UACGUAGGCAGCGAGCGUUGUUCGGAGUUACUGGGCGUAAAGGGUGUGUAGGCGGUUGUUUAAGUUUGGUGUGAAAUCUCCCGGCUCAACUGGGAGGGUGCGCCGAAUACUGAAUGACUAGAGUGCGGGAGAGGAAAGUGGAAUUCCUGGUGUAGCGGUGAAAUGCGUAGAUAUCGAGAGGAACACCAGAGGCGAAGGCGGUUUCCUGGACAGUUACUGACGCUCAGGCACGAAAGCAUGGGGAGCAAAAGGG